rnacentral:rRNA from 1 species
CUGGGCGUAAAGCKUGCGCAGGCGGAUUGUUAAGCAAGACGUGAAAGCCCCGGGCUUAACCUGGGAAUGGCGUUUUGAACUGGCAGUCUAGAGUGCGUCAGAGGGGGGUGGAAUUCCACGUGUAGCAGUGAAAUGCGUAGAGAUGUGGAGGAACACCAAUGGCGAAGGCAGCCCCCUGGGAUGACACUGACGCUCAUGUACGAAAGCGUGGGUAGCAAACAGGAUUAGAUACCCUGGUAGUCCACGCCCUAAACGAUGUCAACUGGUUGUUGGGGGAGUGAAAUCCCUUAGUAACGAAGCUAACGCGUGAAGUUGACCGCCUGGGGAGUACGGUCGCAAGAUUAAAACUCAAAGGAAUUGACGGGGACCCGCACAAGCGGUGGAUGAUGUGGAUAAAUUCGAUGCAACGCGAAAAACCUUACCUACCCUUGACAUGUCCAGGAUCCUGCAGAGAUGCGGGAGUGCCCGAAAGGGAAUUGGAACACAGGUGCUGCAUGGCUGUCGUCAGCUCGUGUCGUGAGAUGUUGGGUUAAGUCCCGCAACGAGCGCAACCCUUAUCAUUAGUUGCUACGCAAGGGCACUCUAAUGAGACUGCCGGUGACAAACCGGAGGAAGGUGGGGAUGACGUCAAGUCCUCAUGGCCCUUAUGGGUAGGGCUUCACACGUCAUACAAUGGUCGGUACAGAGGGUUGCCAAGCCGCGAGGUGGAGCCAAUCCCAGAAAGCCGAUCGUAGUCCGGAUUGUUCUCUGCAACUCGAGAGCAU